UCAUAUCCUUUUUGUAUUUUUAUCAUUCUAUUUCUAUCCCCACGCCGACUGCCUUUGGUCAAUUUCCUCGGCAGUCCCACCCCAUAUCCUGCCUUCGGAGACGCCGCUUGGGCUGCUGGUUUCUACGGAUGCAGAGGAGCUACAUACGACCGAGAAUGUACGGAGCCGGCCGGCGGGGUCAGAGGUAGGCGGCGGCAGGUGGUGUUGCGCGGGUGGCGCGGUGGAGGACCUCGGAGGCCUCCUCUUCCAUGCCUUUCCCCACCUCCUUGGCUUACCCUCAUCUCUAUUCAUGUUUCCAUCGGCAUCUUUACCAGGAGAGCUCCACCCGCAGCCAUGUCUAGGUCUUCAGAUUGGAUUUCAUUGAGGAUGAUGCGUGCGUGCCAAUGGCGCUCUGCAGUUUACGGCGGCAAAACGAGCACCACGUCAGACUCCACCGGUCCACCCUUCCCCGCAGUCCCCACUCGCUCACCGUGCCUCCCAGGUCUCCAACACUUCUCUCUCACGCCCUCUAUUUUCAGUUUUUCACAGGCUGGAGCAUGCGAACGGUCAGAGCGGCGGCGCGGCCGCCAGAGCAGACCUUGCGAACGGCCGGAGAGAUGGCGUGGUUACCGGUACAAGACGACCUGCCCGCAGCAUCGGCGCAUGGGGGGCUUGCAAGCAAGUAACACCAGACGCGUAGAGAAGCAGAUGUGCUGCAUCGACCACGGCCACGACCUCGACAGCGGGCCGGCCGACGGCGACGGAGACAACCACGACGCCAGGGCAUAUCUGCUGUGACAACGAGGUAGAUCCGUAUGUGAUAUCACUGAUAUGGAGUAAGACAAAGCAUCGGGCCAGGUCAUCAGUUCUUUAUGGAAGAACAAUAUGAUGCCUUCUUUGUUCAGGUUCCCUUUACACAUUCAGUAUUGAUCUGUGAUGGUGGGCUUUAUGUUAUAGCACAGUGGAAGUAACAUUCAUCGAUCCAACGGUGCUAACUUCUAUGUUGACGAACCGAACAAACCUCAACUCUUCUCUUCUUUUUCUGAUUAAUUUCAUGUUGCUCUGUCGUGCUCCUAUGGUAUUUGAUAACUUUAAGCAACAUCACUUAUUAUAUUUCAUCGACCAUUUCUAUAUAGUUAUUGCAGAAUUAAUGCAAUGUCAUAUUAAUUUUUGCAAAUUUCUAACUUCUGUAGUAUUUGUGCGUGAAGUUUGUUUGCGCCAACUUAUUGUAUGAGGUAUGUACCAUGUCGAGUCAACUACUUUAAUCAACAAGAUUAAUAUCUUGCUUUGCUUUUGAUAUGCUCUUGGCCCUGUUUGAUUUGGUUUAUAUUGCUCCAAUCUUGCAUUCAAAGUACUCUUUGGCUGUGUCUUGCACCCAAGACUGAUACUUUACAUACUUCUAGCAUGUGUGCAAGCUUAUUGACGAAAAUCUGACGUCCAUGUUCGAGUAAAUCUACUAAGUGACAGUGCAUAUCUGCUGCAUAUUCCGCAAGAAAUUCGUAUCAUAACGGGGAAACUAGACUGAGAAAGUGACACAUAAUACAUUUUAGUUGGCGGUUACUCAGAUUAUUCAGCUUGGGAUAAAGGGCCUACCCUCGCAAUCUAAGACCGAUGUCAGUGAUCAAGUAUAUACCCAAUCCAUUUGCGUUUGUGAAGACACAAUAUAACAGCAAAUGAUAAUGCCUUGAAACUUUGCAACGGAAUAUAAGUGACCUGCAUGCUGGUCAUACCAGCUGCCCAAUGCAUCGAAAAUGUUACCACUGAAUGCCACAGAUAUAGCUCAAGUCUCCAAAAAGGGGAGCUGCAUCGGUUCAGUAUUUGAUGUAUCCGUACAAGUUGAUACACUAUCAUACGAAUCACAUUCUGUUUAAGAUUGGGUUGUAAUAAGUUUUUAUGUGUUCUGCACCGGUUGUCAGGAUCAAAUGGUUCUUUUUUUUCUCUGUGUUUCUCUUUAUAGUCGGUAUCAACUUGGUCACUACCAUGUCACUUUCAUCAAUUUAGACGGCAUGAAUGUAUUGUUCUGAAUUUUGCACAGAUGAGCAAUUCUACAUGUUGAAGAAUAAGCUUUGAUGGUCGCCUGUCCUUUUUUUGCCUACAUUUUAUUUAGAAUUUUUGUUAAGUGAAACAAUCUUCUUCUCUGUGGAGGCAAACACUAUCACACAUUUCCCUGCAAGCAUUUGUAUCGCCACGGGCGCGGCGUGUCGCCGCGCAAAACCUUCCUAGUAAGAUAUAAUGAAAGAAUAAUUAAGAUGAUCUAUUUGGUAUGCAUAGUAUUUGGAUGUUAUUUUCCUAUAGGUGAUUACUGUGGUGACUUUUCAUAUUUGUAUGUAGGCUGGUGAAGGUUCCAGGAAGCGUAAGCGCGAGGAGGAGGAGCCUGUGCCUCCUCCAAUCCAGGAGCUAGGACCUGUCCCUCCUCCAAUCCAGGAGGAGGAAGUACCUGUGCCUGCUCCAGCAUUGCCUGCUCCACCAGUGCCUGCUCCACAUGUCCCUGCUCCAUAUGAGGAGUUGCAGGAUUCAGAUGGCUCCCUGGAGUAUGACUCCCAGGAUUCAUCCGAGUCCGUGGACAGCAGGAACAUUGGAUCCUUCAAGACCAAGCUGAUGCAGAAGCUGGAUGCUGGGGCCUUCCCUUUCAAGAAGAGGGGGAAGUACUUCUGUCCAUGGCACAAGGUGAAGCCCAGGGAUGGCAAGCUUAAAAGCCUGAGGCAGCACUGCGAGGAGCUAGCCCAUACUGGCACCUCCAAGCAGAUUAGGGCAGAGCAUCAUGGGCUUCUCUUGGUGCUUGCUAUGGAGGAUGCUUGAAGCCUAGUUCCUGUGGAUGGUGGUUGCUGUCGAUGCUUUUGUAGAUAUGCUUUUGGUUUAUGAUGUUGGAACUACUGCUUCGUGUUGUGUUGAACAGUGUUUGGUUAGCUUUUGAACUGAGUUGUCAGACAAUCUACUUCUGCAUUUUAAUUAUUGUAAGAGGUAAUUAUGCUAUGUACUUCUCCUCAUCAGCUUUUCACUGUCGAAAAAGAAAUUUUUA